UGGGGAAUAUUGCACAAUGGGCGCAAGCCUGAUGCAGCUAUGCCGCGUGUGUGAAGAAGGCCUUCGGGUUGUAAAGCACUUUCAGCGGGGAGGAAGGCGAUAAGGUUAAUAACCUUGUCGAUUGACGUUACCCGCAGAAGAAGCACCGGCUAACUCCGUGCCAGCAGCCGCGGUAAUACGGAGGGUGCAAGCGUUAAUCGGAAUUACUGGGCGUAAAGCGCACGCAGGCGGUCUGUCAAGUCGGAUGUGAAAUCCCCGGGCUUAACCUGGGAACUGCAUUCGAAACUGGCAGGCUAGAGUCUUGUAGAGGGGGGUAGAAUUCCAGGUGUAGCGGUGAAAUGCGUAGAGAUCUGGAGGAAUACCGGUGGCGAAGGCGGCCCCCUGGACAAAGACUGACGCUCAGGUGCGAAAGCGUGGGGAGCAAACAGG
rnacentral:rRNA from 1 species